UUUCCUACGGGACGCAGCAGUGGGGAAUAUUGCACAAUGGGGGAAACCCUGAUGCAGCGACGCCGCGUGAGUGAAGAAGUAUUUCGGUAUGUAAAGCUCUAUCAGCAGGGAAGAAAAUGACAGUACCUGACUAAGAAGCCCCGGCUAACUACGUGCCAGCAGCCGCGGUAAUACGUAGGGGGCAAGCGUUAUCCGGAUUUACUGGGUGUAAAGGGAGCGUAGACGGCAGAGCAAGUCUGAAGUGAAAGCCCGCGGCCCAACUGCGGGACUGCUUUGGAAACUGCACGGCUAGAGGGCUGGCGGGG
rnacentral:rRNA from 1 species